AUGCUGAAAUAUACCCACCACUACCAAAUACGGUUGCCUCAAGCAUUAUUAGACAUUUGUUACAGAUUUAAUGAGGUUGGUGCAUCGAAAGAACUGGUAGAGGAGAUGAUCGUAGAAUAUUCUGCUAGCCUAGACCUGAUUGAUUCAUUAUCUUUGCUUCUCACGCAACAGGAGGCAUCAAGCCAAGAAGCCCAGUCCAAAGAACAACAUCUGUUGUCUGCAAGCCAUGUUCCAAGAAAAAUGCUCCAUGCUGUGAAAGAUAAGACUGUGCAGACAUUAGGAGAUGGGGUCGUUCUGAACACCAGCAUCGUUUGCACCAGUCAUCUGGAAAGUGGGCUGAAGCACAUAUAAUUAUAGUACUAUUAGAUGACUUACUAGAUGAACCACAGAGACGGAUCCCCUCCGAAGACCUUGCCACCUUAAUGGCCAUCAGGACAAGCUUAAUGGCCAUCAGGACAAGACCACGGGAGCCAGAUGAGUCCUCUGCACAAUCUGACUUUGUUGCAGCCUAGAAUUAAACUGCUGGUUUUUGUCUGGCCAGAGGAGAACAGCACACAAUUUUCCUGUUUAAUACUUUAAAGCUGCUUUGGCACGGUCUGCAUUGUAAAAAGCGCUAUAUAAAUAAUGGUGACUUGACUAGUAUGAUCAGUUUGAUAUGGUAUAUUUUUACCAAUUUAAACCAAUUCCCAGAGAUUUCCUCACAAAAUCAGCACCGAAAAUGCAGUUAGGGGUACUGUUUUAUCUCUUAUCACCGUUGUUUUCAGCAUCCUUAAAAUUUGGGAUACAAGGCAAAUUGGCAUUUUUCCCUUCUACACAUCACUCAGUGUCAUUUAGUACUGAGGAUUGACGCAGUUGGUGAACACAUGUUUGCAAAGAAAGAAUACAGGUCUGAAUACAAAGUGAAUCAUCAUAUCUGCUGGUCUGAGAAACAAUCCCUGAAUCAUUUGAUCUGCUGUCCAUGUUUCCUGUUGUUUGCACAGUGAUAGUGAGGACAUCACUGAAUCCUUGACUCAUGUUCAGGGUUAUCCUGCCAACAAGGAUUGGCAAGCUUGUGCUGUCUGUUUGGCUGGUCUAAUGUACAAAUAUUCUGUUGUCAAAUCCUGAUACUGUUCAUUCUGAUUAGCAUUUGUGCAGAAAUUGCAUGUGCGCACACACAAACACACACACACACACACAGACACACACACACCCACCCACACCCACCCCCACACACAGUUGUUCAAAAGCUUGGGAUCGCUAAGAUUAGGCCUAUUGAACUGUUUUUUGAGAGAAGGCUAAACCAAGGGCGAUACAGUAAAAAUAGCAAUGCUGUAAAAUUCUAUUUGAAUAUAUUUAAAAAUAUAAUUUAUUCCUGUGUUAAAGCUGAAUUUUCAGCAUCAUUACUCCAGUCUUCAGUGUCACAUGAUCCUUUAGAAAUCAUUCUAAGACACUGAUUUGCUGCUCAAGAAGCAUUUCUUAUCAUUAUCAAUGUUGAAAACAGUUGUGCUGCAUAAUAUUUUUCAGGAUUCGUUGACAAAUAAAAAGUUUAGAAGAACAGUAUGUAUUUGAAAGUUUUUGAUUGAUAAAAUGCUACCUUGCUGUAUAAAAGUAUUAAUUUCUUACAUAGAAGAAAAAAAAC
rnacentral:lncRNA from 1 species